AUGAGUAGGGCGGGACACGUGGUAUCCUGUCUGAAUAUGGGGGGACCAUCCUCCAAGGCUAAAUACUCCUGACUGACCGAUAGUGAACCAGUACCGUGAGGGAAAGGCGAAAAGAACCCCGGCGAGGGGAGUGAAAAAGAACCUGAAACCGUGUACGUACAAGCAGUGGGAGCACGCUUAGGCGUGUGACUGCGUACCUUUUGUAUAAUGGGUCAGCGACUUAUAUUCUGUAGCAAGGUUAACCGAAUAGGGGAGCCGAAGGGAAACCGAGUCUUAACUGGGCGUUAAGUUGCAGGGUAUAGACCCGAAACCCGGUGAUCUAGCCAUGGGCAGGUUGAAGGUUGGGUAACACUAACUGGAGGACCGAACCGACUAAUGUUGAAAAAUUAGCGGAUGACUUGUGGCUGGGGGUGAAAGGCCAAUCAAACCGGGAGAUAGCUGGUUCUCCCCGAAAGCUAUUUAGGUAGCGCCUCGUGAAUUCAUCUCCGGGGGUAGAGCACUGUUUCGGCAAGGGGGUCAUCCCGA
rnacentral:rRNA from 1 species